AUUGUAGUUUUCCUUCCUUUAUUAGCUUUGUGUUUCCUGUUUUUCCAAACAUGAUUCCCAGUUAUGAUCCACAUGACAGUGAACAUGGUCUGAAGUAGAGUUUAUACUGUGAGUUUGAUUCUUUGAUUUGCUCUAUUGGUGUUAAUCUCUGUUUUGUUUCUCACUGCUUGCAUUAGUAUUUUGCUUUCUUAAUUAGUUACCUACAAGUGGGGCGGUGGCAAGUGUGAACCAAAUAGCCUUAAAGAUUUGUUUUCAUAGCUUGAUUGAUACAUUAGUUCAAAAAUUGAGCCAAUUCCUAUUGUCUUGUAUGAGCCAAUGUCAUACACAGCUGGAUUGAUUUCUAACUUCAACUACCCUUUGUUUUAUGUAGAGUUGGCCAGAGAAAGGAAUCUAAUUUUCCAUUAACUUCUCGUCUUGUAUAUACAACUUGCUUUCAUAAAUUUUAUUUAAAUAACUUCUUUGUCUUGUUGGAGCAAACAUGCUUCUAGAUUCAGAUUAUAGUAAAUUAUACUUGUAGACUAUCUCGUUGCAGAAGACUUUUCUAACAAAAGAAUUGGACUAUAUGAAUUGGAGGGUUGUGAUGACAAGACCACAAUACAUAUUGGAUAUUGCAUUGCAGAUUGUUUAAUUGGCUUUAUGAUAGUGAUCUAUCAGAACAAAUGGGUAUGUGCUGGCAUCAUUUUGAUCCUCGUAUUUACUUUUCCUUCCCCAUUUUGCUAAAGGGAUAAAGAAGGAAAUUGGAGCAUUGCAAUUAGAAGUAUGUCAGGAGCUUGCAGUAGACACUCUUACUUGGUAGCUAUUUUUGUAGUUUAAUUGCCUUUAGAUUGAAUAUAUUUUACUGUCCUGUCAGAAAGUUGCUGAGAUAAAGAGAACUGAUAAAACCGGAAAUGAGGCAUCAACUAAAAUACUGGCCAGGCAGCUAAUCAGGCUUAGGCAACAGAUAGCUAACUUACAAGGAAGUAGGGCUCAAAUGAGAGGAAUAGCAACUCAUACGCAGGUCGACUGUCAACUCUGUAUCUUUAUAAAAAAGAAUGAAGACUAUUCAAAAAAAAGAAAAAAAAAAGAAUGAAGAAUAUGACAUCUAGUUAUCUAUGCAUAUGUGUACAGAUGCAUGUAUAUAUUUGUAAAUUCUACGGGAAGGAUAAAGGGAUGAAGGUGGAAAAUGAUAAAUUUGUGAUUGGAUAGUUCAACAACAUCAAACUAGAGGUUCAUGUAUUUUAGUUGUAGAAUAGUAGGGGUGCAUGCAGUAAUUUGGUCUAGCAUCUUGAGAGGCUUGUGAUACUUUUGCUAUCUGAGUACUAGACUAGGUGUUGGUAGCUAGUCUCGGGUGAGUAGCAAAGCUUGCAAAGCUAGACUAUUGAUCCAGAUGCAGCUGGAACUACAGAAAGACAGCAAAAAGCUCCUAAAAGGCCUAUUAGUACGUAUUAGUGCUUGGAAGCUUGCAAAGCUAGACUCCAAUGAUGCCAUGAGAGCGGCAAAACUUGCCAAGCUAGACUCUUUUAAGUAAAUUUCUGGAUGUAUAUUGCUAGGAGAGUACUAUAAGAUCGAUGUACUCCUUUUGUGGAUAAAAGAUUACCUUUGCACAAUCCAAUUUGGUGCAUGAUGUGGAUUAUAACAAUUUCUUCUAUAUAUUGAUCAAUUACUGUUAA